rnacentral:rRNA from 1 species
GAUGAACGCUAGCGGCAGGCUUAACACAUGCAAGUCGAGGGGUAUGCUUCUUCGGAAGCAGAGACCGGCGCACGGGUGCGUAACGCGUAUGCAAUCUACCUUUUACAGAGGGAUAGCCCAGAGAAAUUUGGAUUAAUACCUCAUAGUAUUAUAGAAUGGCAUCAUUUUAUAAUUAAAGUCACAACGGUAAAAGAUGAGCAUGCGUCCCAUUAGCUAGUUGGAAGGUAACGGCUUACCAAGGCUACGAUGGGUAGGGGUCCUGAGAGGGAGAUCCCCACACUGGUACUGAGACACGGACCAGACUCCGUACGGGAGGCAGCAGUGAGGAAUAUUGGACAAUGGGCGCAAGCCUGAUCCAGCCAUGCCGCGUGCAGGAUGACGGUCCUAU